rnacentral:rRNA from 1 species
UACGGAGGGUGCAAGCGUUGUCCGGAUUUAUUGGGUUUAAAGGGUGCGUAGGCGGCUUUUUAAGUCAGUGGUGAAAGACAACAGCUCAACUGUUGCAGUGCCAUUGAUACUGAAGAGCUUGAGUACAGAUGAGGUAGGCGGAAUUUAUGGUGUAGCGGUGAAAUGCAUAGAUACCAUAAAGAACACCUAUUGCGAAGGCAGCUUACUAAGCUGUAACUGACGCUGAGGCACGAAAGUGUGGGGGAUCAAACAGGG